AGCAGCGGCGCCUCCCUGCCUGGUUCUCGCCGACAGCUGCUGCGGGAGAGGCCGCGACCCGCGCCACCUCGGCGUCCUGCUAGUCCGUGCCUCCAGGGCGGCUUGGCCUGGGAACGCAGAGGCCCACGACGCCCUCCCCAACCUCCAAAGUGGGAAGCUGGCCCGACCGAAGCUCACAGAGGCCUCGGCAUUCAGGCCUUGCCAGGUGGCCCCUGAACCCUGUCGUGCUGUUCGGGGGACUCCAUACCCUCCUCUCAACCCUCAACAGCAGGAAUGCCUCUCCAGUGGUGUGUGCCGGGCUCUGUGCACCCGGGGUUGAGUCCCCGAUGCCGGCACUAGCGGACCCUGGACGUGGAGAAAGUGCAGUCUGUCGACUUGGACCCUGUGCUGUGGGCAUUUUAGCCCCCUACAUCCACUCCCCUCCCAUUGACUGCUUUAUGUGUAAAAUGGCUUGUUGGAGGGUCCAGUCCUAGAACUGCUAAGCCGAGAAGCUUCCAAUCUUGUCUCUGGAAUCUUCCUUCCACUCCAAGCACCAGGGGCAUCUUUGGGCAUAAAUGCAACCACUGGACCUUACUAUGGAGGGCUGCACAGGCACUCCUGGGGUGGCUUUUACUCUGGCGUCUGUAGCAGGAAAUCACACCUUCCCCCCUCCCUGCAUGCCCCCUCCCUGCAUGCCCCCUCCCUGCAUGCUAGCAAUUUUCCGAGUUUUGUUCUCAUCUCUUAUGAGAUUUUCUGCAUGCUCUUGUCCCCAGGCAGGGCCUGUGGUGCCAAAAAAUGCUGCCUCUGGCACCUGAUGGUCUGAGCCUGAAUCUUGUCUGGCUUUUACUAGUUGUGUGACUUUGGCAAAUAACAUAACCUCUCCUAGCCUCAGCUUCCCCAUCUGUGAAAUGUGAGAAAAAGAAUUCCUGCUUCUUGGGAAGUGGAUGAGAUAAUGAAGGUGAGAGGCUUGGUCCUGAGUCCUGUGGACAGAGGGGCUGAAUGCUACCGGUGAUAGAUGCGAGGUUGUUCUUUAAGAGAGUUUGCUCUUGUUUUUGUUUCCUUCUUUCUCCACGGUGGUCAUGUUGGUUGAGUCUAGGAGGAACAGAUCCCUCUUCUGAUUUAGUUUAUCUGCCCUCAUCCCCUGCUUAGGUGCUAGGAAGUUUGGUCCAGGAAAGCUGGCCAGGCUGGUGGGUGGGGCACACCAGGGCCUGGAAGUCAGAAAGUUCUUAGUGAAACUUGGGGGGUACAAAACACACUUUUUAUAAUCUUAUUUUCCCUUCUCUAAAAAGAUUUUUUUUUUUUCAAUUUCCCUUUAGUUUUGACAUCUUGGGGAGCAUAUAUUCCCACUGGCACAGUGGAAUCGGGAAUCAGAGAGAGAAGAGAUUUGGGGCAGGAUUCACCAGGAAGAGAAGUAGUAGUCACUGUUCCUGAAUAUCACUUUACUUUUCAGCUUCCAGGUGCCCCAUCAAAGAAAGUCAGCAGAAUUGGCUGAAUUUUCUUUGUGUUUCAGUCCAAACUACUGUGCUUCCUCUAAUAUAAAUUUUUCUCCCUAGUGCAAAACGCUUUGAUGAAUUUGUUACAUGGGUUCAUGCUGAACAUAAUGAGCAAAUGUCUGCAGCCACUAUUAUACAGAGGACCAUAACAAUUCUUCAGGCAGUGGUUUUUUUUUUUUUCCAAAUCUUAAUACCAAGUAAAACUAGGGGGAGUAUUCUUUUCCUUCAUAGCUCUUAUUGCAACAGUAUUGAAAUUAAAUAUUUGUGUAAUGAUAGAUUAAAACCUGUUGCUCCUACCAGUUGUAAGCUUCUUGAGAACAGGGCUGAGCGUCUCUUGGCAACAACUAUAGGACCCUCCCCAGAGUGGGCAAGGGAUUUAGUUAUGCUGAUUGACUGGGUACAGCUUACAUGCCCACUCCUGCACCAAUCACUUUGUGGGGGAAGAGUGGCUCAGGCCUUUGCUUGGCCAGGGUCAGAGGCUGCACUCCAGAGUCACCAUGCUCCUCCAAGAGUCCUGGCAUCUAUUUGGAACAAGUUCUCUGAGUUGGUGGAGGGAAAGGGUUGGUUUCCAAAGAAGACUCUGCCCUGUGAAAUUUCUCAGGGGGCUGCUGAUGGUAUGGGUAGCAGCAAGUCCAGUCCAAUGUGAUGGGGAGGGAUUGGCUCUGUUGGGAGAGUCUGAAGUCAUUCAGAAUUGUUCCUGCACUCAUCUGUGGGGAGAGGUGAAGCACUGCCAGGAAGUCGGAGGGGAAGCUCGGAGUCUUGAUUACCUGUAGGAAUGGAUCCACAAAGUAAGGAAGGGAAUGUAUUUGUACUCCCUUUUUUAUCUGUGAGAGGGAGGAAGUUUGAGGCUUUAAAAGUAGAGAGGACCCCCUAGGAUCAGGUAAGAUAUUAAUGUAUUUGAGCAUUAUUCUAUUGCACUGUGCAAGUAUUGGUAGUCAAAGCAAAAUGAGAAGCUAUUUGGGCAUCUGAAGUAUUGUUUUCAUUGUAGUCCUCUCAGCAUCUGCAUGGAAUACUGGACAGAACCCUGUCCUGAGACCCUCCUAGAAUGGCCUCUCAGGUCGAAAAAAAUGUAGAGAGCACCUGUUUUGUGCCUGUGAUUGCAGAGAUACAGAGAUAGGUGGCUCCUGUUCAUUUGGGUUGAGUCAAGGAGGCAGACACAGAAAUCCAUUACAUAGUGGGAGCACAGUGUUGGAGAGAAAUCUGCAGCCUGCUGUUGAAGUGUCUUGAGUGACACACAGAAGAGUUGGCUGUAACAGUUUUUCUACCACCUGGGGACCCCUCCCUAGGAAAAUAUAAUGUGCAAAGGAUCUGAAGUGAGAUAAACUGUGGUAUGCUUGAUAAUAAAGGAAGCCAGUGUGGCUUCAUAAUAGCACUGGAACAGAUGAGAAGGCAGGGCAACAGAUAGGGGAAGAGGAAGUUGGAGAAUCAAGUGGGAACCAGAUCCCACAGGGCUCCAUAAUCUUUGAUAGGAGGGUGGGAUGUUAUCCUGAAAGCAAAGAGGAGCAGAUGAAGGGUUUGAACAGUGAGAGACCUGGCCAGAUGUGUAUCUUAAAAGCCCACUCUGCCUGGAGAGAGGAGGAUGGAUUUGAGGUGAGAUGGAAGCAUAUUAUUGCAACAUCAUUUGCUGAGCUGCCCAGCUUCUCUAUCUAUCUCUUCAUUUCUCCAUCAAUCCAUCAGCCUUUGUCCACUCAUCUGCCAUGAAUGCAGGAGGCCACAGCUUGGCAUGGGAAAUAUGAAGGUGAGACAUUAUGGCCCCUGCCUUUCUGGAGCUGCCCCUCGAAGACCUCAGUUUACCCAUCUGUAGGCCUAGUGAGUCUCAUGAUCACAAGCUCUGCAGCCAGUGCCUUGGUCUCCCUCCAGAUGUCUCCCUCCUGCACAGGACACAGAGUGCUCAGGGCCUGAAGGGGCACAGCCACUAUCACAGAUAGACAAUUCGGGGAGCCAGUACAGUGAACAACCCUGUCGGAAGCUUUUAAAGUAAUUGCCCCUGCCCGUACUGGCUGACUGGCUGAUGGCAGCCUAUUAGCCCUGAGUUGGAAAUUCUGAAUUGUUUCAUGAUAAUUGAACACAGGAUUGGAGGCUGGGAGGGAGUGGCCCAUGAAAUAUUUAUGUUUCCUCAGUGUUGUGGGCUGCUACCCUUUAGCCUGGGAACCCUGGAAGUACGGGGCUGGUGGCUUCACAGUGACUGCCAUUGUUCUUGGGGGUCUUUGGGUCACCUCCCUGUGGGGAGAUAGGAGUGCAUUUUGUGCAGUUGUAAGGGUGGUUGGGGGCCAGCACUGCUAUAGCCUCAUUCCAUGCUGUGCACCCUGGCACUCCAGUCUCACUCUAGUACCAGAGAGGGAACAGAACCUGGGGACUUGAGAUGCUCUAUGUUUAUGCCUGGCCCCAAUUCUCCCUGUACUUAAGGCUCCCAGGAGUCAGCCUGGGUGCGAGCGUCAGUUCUGCCCCCUUAGCAUUGUGAGCCUUGUUUUCUUAGCCAUUCAAUGAGGGAUGCAGAGUUCUUGCCUCGCAGGGUUGUGAGGGACAGAGAUGCCCAUAUGCAGAGGGCCUGGCCCUCAGCCACAGCUCACGAGACCAUCCCAAGCAGCCCUUGGUAGAUCCUAGGGUCAGGCCAGGGCUGGCUAUGGGAGCCCCUAUGGGAUCCCCGGGGCUUUGUGGUCUCUUUUCCUCUGCAGAUGCUUUGUAGUAGUCUGUGUUUUUCCCUUCUCUGCAAAUCCUAAAUAAAUAUUCAUGCUAGGAGGGUCUGUGCCAGCCUGGCAGGCAUUUCUGGUGGGUGGGGUGCCCUAGAGUCUUGGUAAGGAACCCCAUAUGCCCACCAGCCCAGGCCUUUGCUCAUUAGAUUGAGGCUCCGCCAUGGCAGAGGAAACUGGUGGGUGGUUCCUGCCUGGCUGCCUGACCUUGGAAGCUGCUCAGGGGCAGCAGGAGAAGGACCCUUGCUGUCUGAGCUCUUGGCUUGCCAGCCUACCAGACAGCCCAGUGAGGGGCCCACUUUUCUUACCUUGGAAGGUGGUAUUUAUUCAUCUUGCAGAUGAGGAAAAUGGAGGCCAUACUUCAGUCGUUCAUUCAACAGGCAAUUAUUAAGUACCCACUCUAUGUGCUGGCAUUGGGUGGGGUGCUGGGGACUCAGGAGUGAUGGACAAUGCUGAUGCAGUCCCUCACAGGGGAUCAGAUCCAAAGAUGAAUGCAUCUUUAGAAGUGGUGCCGGUUUGGAGCCAUGGGAGCACAGAACAAGAAGAGCAAAACUAACCUGGUGGUCAGGGCAGACUUCCUGGAGGAAGUGACCUACUGGCUGAGCACUGAGGGUAGCAGGGGUUUACCCUGAAGCUGGGAUGGGGGCAGGGCCAUGACAAAGCUAGUGAAGGGCAGGUGCAUCUGGAUGUUCUUAUCUACCUGGGGCUAGGUGCACAACACCCUGUGUGCCCUCCUGCCCCUGCUACCAUGAGGAGCCUAAAGAGGCACCAAGAAGGGUUUUCACGGCUCCAAGGUGCUGGGUUCCUUGCUGAUCGUCCUCUCUGGGCUUUAUUUUCUCACCUAAAAAAUUAGAAGUGAGGUUAGUUCUAGCAACAGGGCACAUUUUUCAGAUGAAACUUUACUAAGACCCCUAAACAGAGGAAUGAAGUGAUGGCCUGGUUGCUGUCUGCUCUCCCCUGUAGCCCCUUCGGAUGCAACAGACACCCCCGAGGAGCUCCAGAGCUCCCUAAGCCAUAGUUUGCAAACUGUAGGAGCCCCUUUAGAGGCUUUCCAGCCCAGCCUCCAAGGGUCCUGGACCCUGGGGAUAGCCAAGGCAGCCUCCCUCUUUAUCCCUCAGGGACCUGUUUCUUGUUCCUUUUAAAUGUCCUGUUAGCCGUUUGUGAUUGAAGUCAGCAAGCAUCUAUUGAAUACCUACUGGAUGCAUGCAGAGGGGCUAACACUUUCUGAGCACCAGCUCUGUGAUAGGUCUGAACUGGGCUCAUUGUAUCAGGCUAUUUCCCCAUCACAACUGGCUGCCAGCUCAUUUUACACGAGGAACUCAAAUUGGUUGAGGCUCGCUGACAUGGCUAAAGCCCCAAAUAACAGUAAUAAUAACACCAGCUCGCAUGGAUUAGGCCCCCAGGUGUGUGUCAGGUCUUUGCAAACAUCUUCCUGUACAUUAACUCCUUUAGUUCUCAAAGUGAAUCUGUAGAGCAGGGACUGUUUCCAUCUUCAAGGAUCAAAGAAGUCAAGUUGCAGGGAGGUGAAAGUGCUGUCUGGUGUCUGGGUUGUGUCUGGGGCUGCUCCCUCCCUCCUGCCCUUUGCCGGGGAAUCAGAGGCAGCUGCAGCCACGGCCUCCAGGAUAGUGGGCUCCCCUCUGUGUUCCUACUGUAUAUGCAGGGAAACUGAGGCCCAGAGACUCACUCUCCCUGGAAUGUGUCUGCUCUCUGGGGCUCCAUCUGGCACUGACCUCCAUCUUUCUUCAUCCUGGCAUCGACUAUGAAAUGAGAACCUGGCGUCUCCCCAGAGACCUUGCCUUACUGGGGACUGUCUGCCUGUCUAGCAGCAUGAAUGAGGGCACAUUGACCUCGACUGGUUGGGCAGAACCAUCCUGGUGAGUCCAGGACACAGGGUGGGGUCAGCCCCUCCCAUGGAGGCUGGAGCUGGGGGUGAACCUGUCUCCCCUUCCCUUGCCUCCUGUUGGAUUCUAGCUCACCCUCAGCCCUCCACCUCAAGCCUUGAGUCUUCACAGGCUCCCCCACCCCCUUCUCCAAAACUCCUCAAGUGCCUGUACUUACAUGUGACUGUCUGAGUGACACGGCCUGGAUGCUAUUCUUGCCCCAGGGGGAAUGCAUGGUACUGAGGAACAAUGGUGGCAUUUCAGGCAGGGUGAAGGGACGCUGAACUUUUGGUGGAUAGAGAGACUCCUACCUUGGUAUACCUGCAGUGGGGCCUUGGGGCCACUGAGGAUGGGGGCUCCCCCUGAGCCUUGGAGGGGAAACUUGUCUGUGCACAGAGCCCAGAUCUUUGCCGCGUAGACAAACACAAAGUGAGGGGACGAGUCUUGACAAAUGUUUGCCAAGUCCCUGGCUGGCUUGGGAGUCAGGAGUGAGCUUGUUUGGCAGAACAAAGGGGAAAGCAGCCUCCAAGGGGCCAUAAAUAGCAAGGAAAAGGGAGUGGCCUGGGCCUGAAGGCUCCAUGGGACCUUGUCUCCAGGCUUGUAUCCUCUGCCAAAGCUGCCAUCAUCCUCUCCCACGUGCUUUGGGCCAGCUGGCCAGAGCUUGGACCAUGUUGGUGGUAACCUUCUUGCUCCACGAGCUGCAUCUCCCUGGGAGUCCCUGGGUGCUGGGUCACCUGAGGUGCCUGGAAGGCUGGGAGGUCAGUGUGACCUGUACAUCCCAAGGUCCCUCUUCCUGUAGGAACCAGGAAGUUUGGCUAAAGUCAACAGUGGUAAAGUUUCCUAAGAGGCAGAGCUGGUCUAGUCCUGGGACCUGGGAGCUUGUGACACCUGGAUAUACUCAGGCUAGGAGGGGUCCCAAUACUCCCGCCCCCAGAACUGGGGGGCUCAAGGGAACCUUGUUCUUUCUGCCCAUAUUCCAGACAAAUAUGGCCACCUACUUCUUCAAAGGAAGAGGGCAGGGCAGGAGGCAGAGGGUGGCAAGACCAGAUACUUUGCCUAUUUGGGCCUCAGUUUCUUUGCUGUAAUGUGGCUUGGCCAGCCAGCUGCGAUCCCCCACCUUCUCAUCCCCUGUUACUGUGAGCAUCAGGUGAGGGCCCGCAUCAGAGAAGGCUGCCUAGAGGAGGUACCUUUUGCACUGGGGCUCGAGACCCUGGCAAGACUUCCUUCAGAGCGGGUGAGAGGGUGUUUAGGAGAAUGCACAGAUAGGCAAGCAUGUGGAGCUGGGGAAGAUGGGCUGUUUGGGGACCUGCAAGUUCAGUUGAGUUCAGGGUGGCAGAGCCCAGAGUGCUCAUGGGGGUGUGAUGAGGUACCUUUCCCACCCCCUGGGGACCAUCUCAGGCAAGGAUGUCUGAGCUGGGAAAUGGCCUGAGCAGGGCUCUGCUCUAGGAAGGUGGGGAGGGGGUAAGAGGUGGCUGAGCUGGUCUGGAUGAGAGACCAGUGGAGGACUACCAAGGGCCCCUGCCUUUCUCCUUUGAGCUGCGAAGGAGGUGUCCUGGCAGGGGGAACUCAGGAAAGGCCAAAUUCCUGAGUUCACUGAUGAUCUGGCCUACUUAGCAAGGCUGGGCCUCCUUUUUUUCUAAGUGGAGAUGGUCCAGAUCCCUAGGCUCUGGCCCCUGGACCCCCCACCGGGGAUGUGGCCUGAGCUCUCCAUGCCUCAGUCUGUGUCUCCAUGCUUCCCACUGGCUCUCCAUGCCCUGUGUCCAGUAUUCUUCAAGGCGCCCACUCCAUGGGCCCUCAGGAAGAGGAGAGCUGGCCAGGAGACUUGGUAGAGAAAGUCCGGGUGCUUUCCCCGUCCUGGGCUCUGUCACAGGCCCACCCAGAAUUACUGUGGAACUGUCACCAUUUGUCCAGGCUUCCCUGGCUGUGUACCUUGCUUUAGAGGUGAGCUUGGGGCCUCAGUGCCUAUGAUGGGAAGGACUCACCCCAGGUCAGGUACUUUCUUUCAUUCCAGCAGCCUUGUGGGGUUCCUACCUGGCCAAGGGUCCAUCUGGGCCUCUAGCAUGGCAAUGGAGAAACCCUCUUUAGCCACCCACACCCUAGCCUACAGAGAGGGGGAAGAGGGGCUGCCAGUGUGUGUGGGAACUGCUUUAUGGAAAGGCUGGUGACUGGCCCUCCCUCCUGGAGGACAGAGGAAUGCAGGCUGGGGCCUUUGUGGAGCUUGUUGCUGUGUUCUGGGUCCAUACGUCUGGGUUCCCUGCUUCCUGCUCACGCUUCUAUUUUGCCUUCCACUCUCUAGUGGGCCUGGGAUGGGUGAAGAGUUGUCCCCACUUCCCCAGCCACCUUCAUUUAGGUGUGGACCCUUUCACCAGCCUGUGUCUGAGGCUGGAUCUCUUGAGUUCAUUCUCCGUUCCCCAUUUUGAUUUUAUUUUUAAAUUUGUUUUACUGUAUGUACUUAAGAAAAGGCCAUCUUAAAGCCUUUUGGGAGGAAGUGGGUCUAAACAUGUAAACAUAAUUAAAUCAUAAACACAAACCACUUAAAAAAAGACAUUUUGAAGAAAUGUGAAUAGUUUAAAAAUGGGGCAGAUGCUCAGCUUCCUGACAGGUACCUGAGUUUUUAUAGCAGUUUUAUUUGUGAUGGCCAAAAGCUGGAAACAACUAAAAUGUCCUACAAUAGGUGAAUGGUUAAACAAACUGGUGCAUCCAUACCAUGGAACACUACCCAGAAAUAAAAUGGAACAAACAGUUGAUUUCUUUUGGCUGAGUCUCAAGGGCAUUAUGUUGAGUGAAAAAAAGCCAAUCUCAAAAGGACACUUACUGUCUGACUUCAUUUAUGUAACACCCUCAAAAUGACGAACAUUUCAAUGUGGAAAACAGAUUGGGCCAGGAGCUGGGGCUGGUGGGGAGAGGGGGUGAGCGUGCCUGUCCGGAGAGCAGUGGGGAGAUCUUGGUGUUGGUGGGUUGAUUCAGUGUCUGGAUUUCGGUGGUGAUCUCAUGAGUUUAUGUAUGUGAUAAAAUGACAUGGAACUAUAUGCACACUUUAUACCAAUCAAUUGCCUGGUUUGGCUAUUGUGCUAAUAAGGUAUAGUCACUAGGAAAAACUAGGUGAAUCUAUAUUAUUUCAGAUAAGGAAAUAUGGGGCAACUCCCGUGAAUUUAUAUUAUUUCAAAAUAAAACGUUUAAAACUGUAAAUAAAUAGGCAGUUUGAGGUUCUGCUUGGGGGGCGGCGGGCAUGCCCUCAUGGCACACCAGGAGCUGUCUCCGGACCUGAGAAAGGCAGGAGGGCGAGGGGCUAGGGCGAUGGAAGGGGGAGAUCAAGAGUGGCGAGGCAGAGGGAGAGCGCCCAGAGCCUCGCUGGAGCCCAUCCCGGCAUGGCUGCUGGGACCAGCAGGCCGAUCGCGGGCCGCGAGCACAUCUCACAGAACGUGGGCGCAGAGGGCCCGAACUGUGCCCGGCGAGGAGGACGCGUGUGGGUUUUGACUAUAAGGGUUCUGACCACUUGGGGACAGCGAGUCGACGCAGAGGCACGGAGCUCAGAGGAACACUCGGGGUGUCCUCGCGGCCUCACUCUUCCGCACGAGGUGCCGGGUGGCCCAGCAGCAGGUGCUCCCGCCCAGGUCCAGAGCCGCGCGUCGCAGAGCCCGCUGUGCCACCGGAGACCCGUGGAGCCGCCAGGGCCGCACUCGGACGUCUGUCCCCAGCCUCGCGGUUGACAGCAGCGCUGGUGUAGGCGCGCGCAGGCGGUGCCAGCUGAGAUGAGAUGUGGAAGCUGGAGGGGUCUGGCAUCCCAGACAGGGGUGAGAAUCCCAAAGGCACAGCAGUGAUAUUUGGCCCCUGGAAAGUGAAGGGCACCCCCGUAACCUGGUGGGUCCUGGUGCUGAUGGUUGUUGGCAAC